rnacentral:ncRNA from 1 species
AUCUUCAGGGCAAGGUGUAAUUCCUUUACCGGCGGUAGAGUCCGCGAGCGCAAGCUGAACUGGUGUAAUUCCAGUACCGACAGUAAAGUCUGGAUGAAAGAAGAG